UUAAGGAAUUUAGAACAAUAAAGUAAAAGUAGGAACAUGAACUAGCUUGACAAUAUCCCAUUCACAAGAAACUGUAACAGAGCUUGCAAUCAACACAAAAGAGCCUAAAAAGUACAAAAAAGUGGGAACAUGAGUGCUUGACAAAUCCCAUUCACAAGAAACUGCAACAGAGCUUGCAAUCAACACAAAAGAGCCUAAAAAGUACAAAAAAGUGGGAACAUGAGUGCUUGACAAAUCCCAUUCACAAGAAACUGUAAUAGAGCCCUGCAAUCAAACAACAAGAGACUGUAAUAAUGAUUCAAAAUCAAAACUUUAGGAGUAUUUGAAACUUUACUUUCAAGACAGGAUGAAGAUGAAUUUGGGGCGAGCAGCCAAGUUGGGGGAGGCCAAAAAAUGUCAGCAAAGCGAGGGUGAAAGACUAAUGGCCCAACACUCCCAUUAUCCAAACUGAAAACCCCAAUUUCCUAAACAGAGUAGGAGCAAUCUGUACUCAAAUUCCUAUCGACUAGAAAGAGUUUCCCAAGAGAUUCCACCAAAUGCUUCUCAAACCCACUAAUCUGAUUCAAUGGAGAUGCGAUUUCAGUGUUGUUCAAGAAGGAAUCGAUUAUUGAACAAGCUCUCUUGUCAUCGACAGUAUAGAUUUGGCCAUUGAAGUUUAUAAUGUCACGAAACAAACGUUCUCGAGAAUCAACAAAUGGUGUCCAAUUUUCGUCUCCUAGCCUCAGAACAGCCAAAGGAAUGAGCUUUCACGCUGGUUGUAAACCAAAAGAAGUAAUGAAAAGUGUUGCAGAAAGAGCAGAGAAGAGAAGAUGAGGAGAUGUGCAUUCAACAAAAUUAGAGCAAACUGGUGGUGACAGGUGAGUCCGGAUCCUCUCCUUGACUUCUCUCAUUCACUUCCUCCGUGCAACGGCUGAGAUUCAGCCAACCAGAUCAAACGGUCUAGAUCGAAAAAGAAAAAAAAAUUAAAACAAAUUGAAACUAAAAUUUUCCCGCCCAAAGCUAUACAGGUUAUACACAUUUUGUUUUGGAACUCACUCUCACUCAGCCUCACACUCACCCCUUCUUCUCCGUCGAACCCAUCCUCCUCACCGGCGACCCUCUCUCGACGGCGACCCACUAUUGAAACCCAGCCGAUCGAGGUGGAUUGUUUAUGUAUGCUUCGCAAACCAGAGCCCUCACGCUCUUCUCCUCCAUCUCACCGGCGACCCUCUCUACGGCGACCCACUUCUCAAACCGAACCCAUUGCUUUGCCCUCAUUCUCUCUACCCUCACUUCGCGAACCAAAGUUCCGUUGUGAGCAAACCAGUCCGAUGUCAAUUAUCCACAGAGUAACACUGCCCAUUGCAAUUACUUCAAGUUCCUAGAUGAAGAUGAUGAAGACGUUAUGUCCACAAUCCGUUGCAACACUAGACUUUGUGAUGCUAUAACAGUAGAAAAUUUUAACGAUCUAAGGACGAGGCUUCAUUAGAUAGAAAACGAAAAUGAUAAAUAUCAUCAAAGACUUGAAAGGAUGGAAAAUGAAAAUGAUGACUACAGUUGAAGGCUUGAAAAUCAUUUUAAGGCGAUGGUGUAUGUCAUUGUAAUUUUUAUGAUUUUGUACUUUAUAAUGUAACUUAUUGUUUAGUUCGCUUCGGGAAAAUUUGAUGAAUGUUAUUAUGGAUUUUAUGAAACUUAACGGAUGUAUUGUUGGCGUUUGUAGCAUUUUGGCUUUAAUUUUAUGGAAUGAUUUUGGAA